UACAGAGGUCCCAAGCGUUGUUCGGAUUCACUGGGCGUAAAGGGUGCGUAGGUUGUUGGGUAAGUCUGAUGUGAAAUCUCCGGGCUCAACCCGGAAAUGGCAUUGGAUACUAUUCGGCUAGAGGUUUGGAGGGGGGACUGGAAUUCUCGGUGUAGCAGUGAAAUGCGUAGAUAUCGAGAGGAACACCAGUGGCGAAGGCGAGUCCCUGGACAACACCUGACACUGAGGCACGAAAGCUAGGGGAGCAAACAGG
rnacentral:rRNA from 1 species